UACGUAGGGGGCGAGCGUUGUCCGGAUUUAUUGGGCGUAAAGAGCUCGUAGGUGGUUUGGUAAGUCGCGUGUGAAAGCCCCCGGCUCAACUGGGGAGGGUCACGCGAUACUGGUCGACUCGAAGGCAGGAGAGGGUAGUGGAAUUCCCGGUGUAGUGGUGAAAUGCGUAGAUAUCGGGAGGAACACCAGUGGCGAAGGCGACUACCUGGCCUGUUCUUGACGCUGAGGCGCGAAAGCUAGGGGAGCAAACGGG
rnacentral:rRNA from 1 species